AAUGAACGUUGGCGGCGUGGAUUAGGCAUGCAAGUCGAGCGGGUAUAGCAAUAUAUCAGCGGCGAAAGGGAGAGUAAUACGUAGCUACGUGCCCCAGAGACCGGAAUAGCCAGCCGAAAGGCUGGGUAAUGCCGUAUGACGUCCCCGGACUAAAGGGUGUGAUUCCGCUUUGGGAGCGGGCUGCGUUGUACUAGCUAGUUGGUAGGGUAAUGGCCUACCAAGGCUUUGAUGCAUACCGGGCGUGAGAGCGUGGCCCGGCUCACUGGGACUGAGACACUGCCCAGACACCUACGGGUGGCAG
rnacentral:rRNA from 1 species